AUUGACAUUUAUUUUGUUUCGCUGCGCAAUUAUUUUGUUACCUAUUUAUAGCGUAGUGAAUUUUGGCGCCAAUUUUAUAAGACUGUAACGGAACGUAAAGUCGACAAGAUAUUUAUUAUCAUUACUUUCUUUAUCUUCUUACGACUAAAUAACACUUACUUGUUUAUGGAUAUUGUAUAAUCCUAAGAACAAUGAAUUACAUAGAAGAAUAUAUAAAUACAGAAAUACGUUGACUCCAUUAAAGAAGAAAAAAUAUGUAAAUCGACCCCAUUAUUUGUAUUUAUCAAGCGAGUCGACUGCGCGUAUUCACAACAAUAUCAAUAUCAAGCUGUGUUAAAUAUUAAUACAUUUUAAUAUGCCAUAUUGUUUCAUGCACAUAUGGUUACAUAGUAUAGGUUAUCCUUUCUUUUCAUCGUGUCGUCAGAGGCGGCUCAUCAGAAAAAAUCAUCAACAAAGACUUUAUCAUUUAUCAAGAAAAAGUGCAGGAAUAUACCUCUACAUACUUAUAAUAAAUACGUGAUAUCGUUCCAAUGACACAUUAUGUAUAUUAUAUCUAUCUAUAAUCUAUAAAAUAGAUUUUGAAGUAGC